CGCAUCUGUGCAUGCAGCAUAUCAAUAAGCGGAGGAAAAGAAACUAACAAGGAUUCCCCUAGUAACGGCGAGCUGAAGCGGGAAGAGCUCAAAUUUGAAAUCUUAAAGGGUUUCCCUUUACGAAUUGUAGUUUAAAGAAGUGUUUUCUGUUGAGGUUUUGGUAAAAGUUCUUUGGAAUAGGACAUCAUAGAGGGUGAGAAUCCCGUAUUUGACCUUUACUUUCAACUUUGUGAUACACUUUCAAAGAGUCGGAUUGUUUGGGAAUGCAGUCCAAAAUGGGUGGUAAAUUUCAUCUAAAGCUAAAUAUUGGCGAGAGACCGAUAGCGAACAAGUACCGUGAGGGAAAGAUGAAAAGAACUUUGAAAAGAGAGUUAAACAGUACGUGAAAUUGUCAAAAGGGAAGCGUUUGACACCAGUGUUGUUUUUCUGAAAAUCAAUUAAAGAACUGUUUAUGCUAAGUUGUUUAGACUUUAUCAGCUAACUGUUUAGUUUUGAGCUUUUCUUUAAUGCACUUUUCAGUUAACAAGUCAACAUCAAUUUCUUUUGCUGUAAAAAAGCUUGAGGAAGGUGGCUUGAGAUUCGUCUUAAGUGUUUAUAGCCUCUUGCCUAUGCAGUCGGAGAGAUUGAGGUCUGCAGCGUAGAUCCUUCGGGGCUAAAUGCAUUUGUGCUAAGUUAUAGCAUUUUAUAGACAACUUGUUGACUAUGAUUUGUCUUGUAGCUUACUCGCUUAUGUUAUUUUACCUACGCUUAGGAUGUUGAACGCGCACAGAGUCUC
rnacentral:rRNA from 1 species